rnacentral:lncRNA from 1 species
CCCAAAGUCCAGAACUGGGAAAGGCAUACACAGAGUCUGGGUGUGGGACAAGGCUCUGGACUGAGCCCGCAUCAUGCAAGAAUGUUGUUUGGCUCUCAGAACAUCUCAAGUAUUAAGCAUUGGGGCUGUAGCUUGGUUGGCAGUGUUGCCCACAACCCCCACCUGUGCCCUUGUCUAGGUUUGCAGAUUCUCUGAACUGUGGGCCCAGUACCUCCUAGCCCCAAGGCUACUACUGCCUGUCAGUUGGGGCAGGAGCUGGCAGUUGCCCCAGUCCUCACCCUUCCCUGGAGUCUCGGGAUGCCCUCUCAGUCACAGAAGUCAGAAGGCUGUGUGGACAGUUCAACUAUCAUCUCAGCCCCUGUCUCCAGACUGGACACUGUCACUGUCAGACAGGGACCCCAGAGGAAGAACUUGGUAACCAGAGGACACAAACCAUCUCAAAGCUG